rnacentral:rRNA from 1 species
ACACUCCUACGGGAGGCAGCAGUGAGGAAUAUUGGACAAUGGGUGGAAGCCUGAUCCAGCCAUCCCGCGUGCAGGAAGACGGCCCUAUGGGUUGUAAACUGCUUUUAUCUGGGGAUAAACCUACUUACGUGUAAGUAGCUGAAGGUACCAGAAGAAUAAGCACCGGCUAACUCCGUGCCAGCAGCCGCGGUAAUACGGAGGGUGCAGCGUUAUCCGGAUUUAUUGGGUUUAAAGGGUCCGUAGGCGGACUGAUAAGUCAGUGGUGAAAUCCGACAGCUUAACUGUCGAACUGCCAUUGAUACUGUUAGUCUUGAGUAAGGUUGAAGUGGCUGGAAUAAGUAGUGUAGCGGUGAAAUGCAUAGAUAUUACUUAGAACACCAAUUGCGAAGGCAGGUCACUAAGUCUUAACUGACGCUGAUGGACGAAAGCGUGGGGAGCGAACAGGAUUAGAUACCCGUGUAGUCC